rnacentral:snoRNA from 2 species
AGACCGUGAUGUGGGCACUUCCUUAAUAGCUCCUUGAACCUUCCCAUGUCUCGUACAAGGAUUCCCCAUCUUCUUGAGAGUAGGUGUUAAUCUCGGUCAUGAGUUU